rnacentral:snRNA from 1 species
GGUAAGGCCACAAAGCCUAU